rnacentral:misc_RNA from 1 species
GAACAAUAGUCUGGGCGCAUUAGGGUAGAUCCCAGAUCUGGUGGAAGAGGAAUAAAACUGAGAUCGGGAUCCCCAUACCUAUCGGCAAACAAAAGAAGGAUGUUUCUCUUCGAUUGGUUCUAUGGCGUUUUGGCUUCUCUAGGGUUAUGGCAGAAGGAAGCUAAGAUCCUCUUUCUCGGCCUUGAUAAUGCCGGAAAGACUACUCUUCUUCACAUGCUUAAAGACGAGAGAUUAGUUCAGCAUCAGCCGACUCAGUAUCCGACAUCGGAAGAGCUUAGUAUUGGAAAAAUCAAAUUCAAAGCGUUUGAUUUAGGAGGUCAUCAGAUCGCUCGCCGUGUUUGGAAGGAUUACUAUGCUAAGGUUGAUGCUGUUGUAUACCUGGUAGAUGCUUAUGACAAAGAGCGCUUCGCUGAGUCAAAGAAAGAAUUAGACGCACUGCUAUCUGAUGAGUCCCUAGCGACUGUUCCCUUCCUCAUUUUGGGAAACAAGAUAGACAUACCGUAUGCUGCCUCAGAAGAUGAGUUG